CCCUGCUCCAGAAAAGAAGGAAAAAACUCCAGAGCUCCCAGAACCUUCAGUGAAAGUAAAAGAACCUUCAGUACAAGAGGCUACUUCUACUAGUGACAUUCUGAAAGUUCCCAAACCUGAACCUAUACCAGAGCCUAAAGAACCUUCUCCGGAAAAAAAUUCCAAAAAAGAAAAGGAGAAGGAGAAGACCCGACCACGAUCUCGGUCACGCUCCAAAUCAAGAUCCCGGACGCGGUCCCGCUCUCCUUCUCACACUCGACCUAGACGGCGCCAUAGAUCCCGAUCAAGAUCGUAUUCACCUAGAAGGCGGCCAAGCCCAAGAAGGCGGCCAUCUCCUCGAAGAAGAACUCCGCCAAGAAGAAUGCCUCCUCCACCAAGGCACAGAAGGAGUAGAUCUCCAGUAAGACGGUUCUCAGGAAUUCUUCCGCCAAAGGUGAAUUCUGCAGAAGAAGACGUUCGUCAGCAUCCUUGUCUGGGAGUAGCUCAUCAUCCUCUUCAUCUCGUUCACGGUCACCACCAAAGAAGCCUCCCAAGAGGACAUCCAGCCCCCCUCGGAAAACUCGUAGGUUAUCUCCUUCAGCAAGUCCUCCAAGGCGAAGGCACAGGCCAUCACCUCCUGCAACUCCACCACCCAAAACUCGGCAUUCCCCUACACCCCAGCAGUCAAACCGUACAAGAAAAAGUCGUGUUUCUGUGUCUCCAGGGAGAACUUCAGGUAAAG
rnacentral:sRNA from 1 species